UACGGAGGGAGCUAGCGUUAUUCGGAAUUACUGGGCGUAAAGCGUACGUAGGCGGCUUUGUAAGUUAGAGGUGAAAGCCUGGAGCUCAACUCCAGAACUGCCUUUAAAACUGCAUCGCUUGAAUCCAGGAGAGGUGAGUGGAAUUCCGAGUGUAGAGGUGAAAUUCGUAGAUAUUCGGAAGAACACCAGUGGCGAAGGCGGCUCACUGGACUGGCAUUGACGCUGAGGUACGAAAGCGUGGGGAGCAAACAGG
rnacentral:rRNA from 1 species